GUUUGGGUGGUGUAGUUGGUUAUCACGUUAGUCUCACACACUAAAGGUCCCCAGUUCGAACCUGGGCUUAGACA
rnacentral:tRNA from 1 species